GGGUUAAGUCCCGCAACCGAGCGCAACCCUUGUCAUUAGUUGCCAUCAUUUAGUUGGGCAACUCUAAAUGAGACUGCCGGUGACAAACCGGAGGAAGGUGGGGAUGACGUCAAGUCCUCAUGGCCCUUAUGGGUAGGGCUUCACACGUCAUACAAUGGUCGGUACAGAGGGUUGCCAAAGCCGCGAGGUGGAGCCAAUCCCUUAAAGCCGAUCGUAGUCCGGAUCGUAGUCUGCAACUCGACUACGUGAAGUCGGAAUCGCUAGUAAUCGCAGAUCAGCAUGCUGCGGUGAAUACGUUCCGGGUCUUC
rnacentral:rRNA from 1 species